rnacentral:tRNA from 1 species
GCCUUCGUGGUGUAGUGGUCAUCACGCUCGGCGCGUAUUCGAGAGGUCCGUAGUUCGAGUCCCGGCGAGGGUA